AGGUCUAGCCUGCCCAGUGAUAAAUUCAACGGCCGCGGUACCCUAACCGUGCAAAGGUAGCAUAAUCACUUGUUCUUUAAAUAGGGACUUGUAUCAACGGCAUCACGAGGGUUGUACUGUCUCCCCCCUCCAAUCAGUGAAACUGAUCCCCCCAUGAAAAAGUGGGGAUAAACCUAUAAGACGAGAAGACCCCAUGGAGCUUUAAACCAACAGCAAUUUAGCAAACGCUUUCCCACUAGCUACAAAAAGAUGCCAGAAGUUUUAGGUUGGGAGGACCACGGAGUAAAAAUAAACCUCCGUAACGAAAAGAUAAAAAAUCUUUACCUAAAAGUUACUACUUGAAGGAUUGGCAAACUAACAUAAGUGACCCGAUAUCGAUCAACGAACCAAGUUACCCUGGGGAUAACAGCGCAAUCCACUUCAAGAGUUCAUAUCGACAAGUGGGCUUACGACCUCGAUGUUGGAUCAGGGUGUCCUAGUGGUGCAGCCGCUACCAAAGGUUCGUUUGUUCAACGAUUAAAACCCU
rnacentral:rRNA from 2 species